UACGGAGGGUGCAAGCGUUAUCCGGAUUCACUGGGUUUAAAGGGUGUGUAGGCGGGUAUUUAAGUCAGUGGUGAAAUCUCCAGGCUCAACCUGGAAACUGCCAUUGAUACUAUUUAUCUUGAAUCCUGUUGAGGUGGGCGGAAUAUAUCAUGUAGCGGUGAAAUGCUUAGAUAUGAUAUAGAACACCGAUUGCGAAGGCAGCUCACUAAACAGGUAUUGACGCUGAGGCACGAAAGCGUGGGGAUCAAACAGG
rnacentral:rRNA from 1 species